rnacentral:lncRNA from 12 species
AGAUUCUUCAGAGAAGAGACAAUAGCUACCUUCAGUUUACAUUUGACAUCUGAAUGCAGUUGCUCCUGUCUUAGAAGGCUAUGUGUUACAGAUGUGAAAGGAUAAAUUCACCCCUGUGGUUGAUAUUUAUGGGAAUGCAAGGUGACGGCUGGAAUCUCAAAGACCUCCUGGAGCCUCACAGGGCGUUGCCAAUCAUCUUGGAAAUGGAGCCAACCUUGCCCUUCGGGGCCUUUAUGCCAAACAAGCCUACAUUGUCUGCAUCAAAAGGACAGAAGAUUACAGAAUAAAAACAGAAAAAGGAGAAGAAGCAAUGAUUGAAAAGAAAAGCCACCUAUAUCCUCCUGCUAAGUUUCCCUUGAGAAGAAUGAGUAAAAUGAGCUCUAUAGCCUCAUAACCAUGGAAGGGAUUUCCUGUACAAUGUUCACAACUUUGGCAAGGUAAUGAUUAAGGCCUUACAACUUCUUAUAAAAUUUCUGGAAAGAUGGAAAUUACAUGGUUAGCUUUUAUGUGUUGACUCAGAUAUGGCCAGAUCAGUUUAAGAAGGCAAAACAACGUAGAUUUUCAUUUAUUCCCCAAUUAAUAUUUAUUGAGCUCUACUAUGUGCUUUGCUCAAGGAUAGAAAUAUGAUUAAUAUUUGGCUUCAGUUCCCAAAGACUUAAUAACCUAGCAUGUUCGAUUGUGUUGUUUGUAGUAGUGGUAGAUAGUGGUGAUGAUCAGUGAUGAUCUUGGUCGUGGGGGAGAAGAAUUAUUGGGAAGAAAAUAUAUCAACUGAGACCUGUACAUAUAUCACCUGGACCUGGAAAAUGUACACUAGUUUAAUUCCUCACUUCAUCUAUUACCACAGAUUUGCUUAAAUGUGAUAUUGAUAAUUAUUGAUUCCUAUCAUUCUUAGAUCUCAUUUAUAUUUUAAUGAGCCUCAAGGUUCUCAAAAGAUUUCAAAGGCCAGAUAUAGCAUGAUGGGAUCAAACUUUAAUCAAAUGUAGGAAACUUCUCAGUUCCUACUCUUUCUGGGAAAGUGCUAUAUGCUUUAUAAGAAAUAUGCUCUUUAGCAUAAAGCAUAUAAUUUUCUUGAGGGAAUGGGACAUACCUGUAUAUAUAUGUAUGUAUGUACCUAAAAAUAUGCAACAUACAUAUGUAUACAUAAUGCUCUUGCACAUUCCUACACAUCUGGUGUGAAUCAAUGUGGUAUAGAUCAUAUAUACAAAAUGAUACUUCAACCCUAAAUCACAGAUCACUGUGGAGUAGGGUUAGUCAUAGAGAAAGGUCAUUAUCAGAUUGAUUGUAAAGUGAAAUAUUGAACCUGUUUUAGCAAAAAAGGAAGAUGAUAUGCAUGCUCUCAAUACUGAAGAUAGAGAAAGGGAAGAGAAAUAAUAUCGAGGACUUAAUUUGGUGAAUAAUUUUAGGAAAUGCAAUAUCCAUCCAACACUUUGACUUCAGCCAGAGGAUUAGGGUACAGCCCUAUUUUCCUUAGGCUGAAAUCUUUAUGAUGAAGAAUGACUGCUCUGACUAUGAAUUUAUUUUCCAGUAACAAUUACUUUUAGAGUAUCAAGGACUCUUGACUUCUCUUGUUUAGCAGUUCUACAGUUUACCUGUUAACUAUAUUUGGCCUAUUUGGUAAAUAGCUGUUAGGAACCGAGAAGUAUUUGUUGCUUUUAUGUGACUAGCCUUGGGCCAGGUUUUACAGAGCAGAGUGGAAAUGUAAGACAUUAUUCUUUCCUGCAAGGCUAUUCUAAUAUUAUCGGGUAGCUAUUACUCUCUGGCAAUAUAUUUGAAAAUAUAGUUACUAGUGAUACGGAAAGGGACAUGCUAUAGGAAGACCUAGCCUCUAUCAAAGGGCUUUUUAAAAACUGGAGGAAAAUAAAAUAUCAGCAAGUAGGAGCCCCUGCUUCUGG